UACGUAGGGGGCAAGCGUUGUCCGGAUUUAUUGGGCGUAAAGAGCUCGUAGGCGGUUCGAUAAGUCGGGUGUGAAAUCUCCAGGCUCAACCUGGAGGCGCCACCCGAUACUGUCGUGACUUGAGUUCGGUAGAGGAGUAUGGAAUUCCUGGUGUAGCGGUGGAAUGCGCAGAUAUCAGGAGGAACACCGGUGGCGAAGGCGGGAUCCUGGACCAGUACUGACGCUGAGGAGCGAAAGCGUGGGGAGCAAACAGG
rnacentral:rRNA from 1 species